rnacentral:rRNA from 1 species
AAAUGAAUAGACGGGGGCCCGCACAAGCAGCGGAGCAUGUGGUUUAAUUCGAAGCAACGCGAAGAACCUUACCAGGGCUUGACAUCCCUCUGACCGGCAUAGAGAUAUGCCUUUCCUUCGGGACAGAGGAGACAGGUGGUGCAUGGUUGUCGUCAGCUCGUGUCGUGAGAUGUUGGGUUAAGUCCCGCAACGAGCGCAACCCCUAUCUUUAGUUGCCAUCAAGUUAAGUUGGGCACUCUAGAGAGACUGCCGGGGACAACUCGGAGGAAGGUGGGGACGACGUCAAAUCAUCAUGCCCCUUAUGUCCUGGGCUACACACGUGCUACAAUGGCUAGAGACAAAGGGAAGCGAAGCGGUGACGUGGAGCGAAUCCCAUAAAGCUAGUCCCAGUUCGGAUUGUGGGCUGCAACUCGCCCACAUGAAGUCGGAGUUGCUAGUAAUCGCGAAUCAGCAUGUCGCGGUGAAUGCGUUCCCGGGCCUUGUACACACCGCCCGU